CCUCUUCUUCUUCUCCUCCUCUCUCCGCUCUCACCCGUUUCACUGGCUGGAUGGCCAAAUCACCCCUGACAGGCCGGAGCUUUCAUGCGGCGCUGCGAGUGUUUGUGUGGCACACUGUACAAAAGAGCAGGGACACACAGGACCCUCUUCAGCACGUCAGGCUGCCCCCUGUUUGCUCAGACUGCCGAGGGGCUUCACGGGGCCGGAGGUCCGUCUGCCGUCGAUGAAGGCACGUCUGGAUCCCAACUGGAUGCUCAUCAACUCCACGAGGACCUCCUAACUUCAAACUGAAGCUCCUCUACCGUCUGAGAAACGGAGGCAGCAGGAAUGAUGAUCAGACUGGGAAGACUGACACCGGGAUACUUCCGCCUCCUCCAGAGGCAGAUGUCGGGUGAGGUCCAGAUUCAGCCGCAGAGCAGCCUCAUCGAUCCUAUCGCCAUGACGAUGGCCGCGGUGGGGAUGGGAGUGUCUCUGUACAGCGCCAGGCGGAUGUCAGAGAGAGUCCAGCUGAAGCGGCCAAACGCCUGAGAGAUCUCACCUGUUCACCGGUUCAGUUUCUGCGGUUCAUGCGACAUGUGUUUGUGAACGUCAGAGAAAGUCAGCGGAGGAGGAGUGUGUUUAUGUGUGUGGGUGUGUCUGUGUGGUGCUAGAAGGAAAAUCUAAGUGUCCCCGAAGGAAAAUGUGAGUCGGUCAUCAGCAUGUCGCAUGUGUGAAGCUGUAGUUUGAUAACCCUACGUGUUGUGUGCAGGAUGUCUUUAAAAGGAGUGCAUAUUAAAUCAGAGAUUUGUACUUUAAUUCAGUUAAUCAUCAAUUAACAAACAGCAUUAGAGUUUAGUUUUAAUUUAAAAAUGUGUAUAAUACAGAUGUAAUUCAAUUCAAUUUUAUUUAUAUAGAACCAAAUCACAACAAGUCGCCUCAAGGUGCUUUUUAUUGUCAGCUAAAAAUCCUACAAUAAUACAAGGAAAACAGAGAAAAGCCCAACAAUGAUUAGACCCCCUAUGAACAAGUGCUUUGGUGACAGUGGGAAGGAAAAACUCCUUUUUAACAGGAAGAAACAUCCAGCAAAACUAAUGUAAGUUGAAAAUCUUACAAAGUUAUUUUAUUCAUUAAUAUUAGUCACAAACACACCUUUCCAGGCAUUUCUGUUAGUUUUUAUAUAAAUUAUUAAGCAGCAUCACAUCUGAGUAUUUCUUCACUAAUCACACUAAGCAUCUUCGAAGCAUCUUCGAACGACUUACUGAAGAAGAUGUCUGUAAAUGUAAGAUGCUAACUCAGAGAUAUCUACACUUCUUUGUGCAUCUAAUAAAAAUGUUCACAUUUUCUGA